rnacentral:rRNA from 1 species
GAUGAACGCUGGCGGCGUGCCUAAUACAUGCAAGCCGAGCGAACGGGCGAGAAGCUUGCUUCUCUGAUGUUAGCGGCGGACGGGUGAGUAACACGUGGAUAACCUACCUAUAAGACUGGGAUAACUUCGGGAAACCGGAGCUAAUACCGGAUAAUAUUUUGAACCGCAUGGUUCAAAAGUGAAAGACGGUCUUGCUGUCACUUAUAGAUGGAUCCGCGCUGCAUUAGCUAGUUGGUAAGGUAACGGCUUACCAAGGCAACGAUGCAUAGCCGACCUGAGAGGGUGAUCGGCCACACUGGAACUGAGACACGGUCCAGACUCCUACGGGAGGCAGCAGUAGGGAAUCUUCCGCAAUGGGCGAAAGCCUGACGGAGCAACGCCGCGUGAGUGAUGAAGGUCUUCGGAUCGUAAAACUCUGUUAUUAGGGAAGAACAUAUGUGUAAGUAACUGUGCACAUCUUGACGGUACCUAAUCAGAAAGCCACGGCUAACUACGUG